UGUGUUGUCACUGCAUGGUAAUCUGCACUGUAAACUAGCCCUCCCUCGUCAUCACCUUUGUGCUCUCCACCAGUAGAACCUUCCUUGGCUUCUGAUUUCUUCAUUCCAUGAGGUAUCUGUUACCAGUUGUAAUUUUAAAUUGUCUUUUUUUUUUUGUGAUAAAACUCAGAAACUCAUCAACUAACCUUGGCUUUCCGUUCUUCUGAUGGCUUUGAUUCCAGAAAAUCUAGCUCCUUCCCAAGCCGCCUGCUUAGAAUUUGGUUUAUUAUGGUUGGAGAUACAG
rnacentral:lncRNA from 1 species